rnacentral:snRNA from 11 species
AGCUUUGCGCAGUGGCAGUAUCGUAGCCAAUGAGGUUUAUCCGAGGCGCGAUUAUUGCUAAUUGAAACAAAGUGUGCUUCUCUGGGUGGAGCAGGCUGGCGUUUUAGUUGAACCCAGGUACCUUUCUCUUUGGCUUCUUUCUUUUUCUGGUCAUUUUCCUUCACAUGUUUUAUGAAG